CCUACGGGAGGCAGCAGUGGGGAAUAUUGCGCAAUGGGCGAAAGCCUGACGCAGCGACGCCGCGUGAGGGAUGAAGGUCUUCGGAUCGUAAACCUCUGUCAGCAGGGAAGAACGGUCACUGUGCUAAUCAGCAGUGAAUUGACGGUACCUGCAAAGGAAGCACAGGCUAACUCCGUGCCAGCAGCCGCGGUAAUACGGAGGGUUGGAGCGUUAAUCGGAAUUACGGGGCGUAAAGCGCUCGUAGGCGGUAUGUCAAGUCAAGGGUGAAAUCCCCGAGCUCAACGUGGGAACUGCCUGUGAAACUGGCAAACUGGAGUGUGUGAGAGGAUAGUGGAAUUCCAGGUGUAGGAGUGAAAUCCGUAGAUAUCUGGAGGAACAUCAGUUGCGAAGGCGACUAUCUGGCACAUAACUGACGCUGAGGAGCGAAAGCGUGGGUAGCAAACAGGAUUAGAUACCCGUGUAGUC
rnacentral:rRNA from 1 species